UAGGGAAUCUUCCACAAUGGACGAAAGUCUGAUGGAGCAACGCCGCGUGAGUGAAGAAGGGUUUCGGCUCGUAAAACUCUGUUGUUAAAGAAGAACAUAUCUGAGAGUAACUGUUCAGGUAUUGACGGUAUUUAACCAGAAAGCCACGGCUAACUACGUGCCGA
rnacentral:rRNA from 1 species